AGCGAACGCUGGCGGCAGGCUUAACACAUGCAAGUCGAGCGGGCACUUCGGUGUCAGCGGCAGACGGGUGAGUAACACGUGGGAACGUACCCUUCGGUUCGGAAUAACGCUGGGAAACUAGCGCUAAUACCGGAUACGCCCUUUUGGGGGAAGGUUUACUGCCGAAGGAUCGGCCCGCGUCUGAUUAGCUAGUUGGUGGGGUAAUGGCCUACCAAGGCGACGAUCAGUAGCUGGUCUAAGAGGAUGAUCAGCCACACUGGGACUGAGACACGGCCCAGACUCCUACGGGAGGCAGCAGUGGGGAAUAUUGGACAAUGGGCGCAAGCCUGAUCCAGCCAUGCCGCGUGAGUGAUGAAGGCCUUAGGGUUGUAAAGCUCUUUUGUCCGGGACGAUAAUGACGGUACCGGAAGAAGAAGCCCCGGCUAACUUCGU
rnacentral:rRNA from 1 species